AUUGAACGCUGGCGGCAUGCCUUACACAUGCAAGUCGAACGGCAGCACGGGUGCUUGCACCUGGUGGCGAGUGGCGAACGGGUGAGUAAUACAUCGGAACGUACCUUAUCGUGGGGGAUAACGCAGCGAAAGCUGUGCUAAUACCGCAUACGCCCUGAGGGGGAAAGCGGGGGAUCGCAAGAUCUCGCGCGAUUAGAGCGGCCGAGGCCGGAUUAGCUUGUUGGUGGGGUAAAAGCCCACCAAGGCGACGAUCAGUAGAUGGUCUGAGGGGCAGAUCAGCCACACUGGGACUGAGACACGGUCCAGACUCCUACGGGAGGCAGCAGUGGGGAAUUUUGGACAAUGGGGGCAACCCUGAUCCAGCAAUGCCGCGUGAGUGAAGAAGGCCUUCGGAUUGUAAAGCUCUUUUGUCAGGGAAAAAACACCGGCUCUAACACAGUCCGGGAAUGACGGUACCUGAAGAAUAAGCACCGGCUAACUACGUGCCAGCCGCCGCAGUAA
rnacentral:rRNA from 1 species